rnacentral:tRNA from 1 species
UCCCUGGUGGCUCACACAGUAUAGCGUCUGCCUGCAAUGCAGAAGACCCAGGUUCAAACCCUAGGUCUGGAAA